rnacentral:piRNA from 1 species
UACUGUAGGUAUGCCAGACCCUUGGCACCCAG